ACCGUUUGAACCGAGCCUUUCCCAAAACUGCGAGUUCCUACAACAAUUGCCCUUCGGUGAUCUUGCAGGGCUCCGGCAACAAUCUCAGAAGCAGAAGCGGAGCCACCAUUUAUCAAAACAACAAUUGGUUUGCCGUUUGCGAGGUCUCCUGAUUUGGCAUUAUAUCUUUCACUAUCUUCACUGUAUCUUCCUCUUGUGGAAACAAUUUCACCUUUUUCUAAAAAGGCAUCUGACACACGAAUUGCCUGGUUUAAUAAUCCACCUGGAUUAUUUCUUA
rnacentral:ncRNA from 1 species